rnacentral:rRNA from 1 species
AGUGUGAGAUGUUCUUGAAACUUAAGAUGCUUGGCGGUUUUUUAGACUAGUUAGAGGAAUCUGUUCUUUGAUCGAUGAUCCUCGUAAAGUUUUACUUUUUUUUUAAAUAUCGCCGUCGACGUCAGGUCAAGAUUUAGCUAAUGGAAAAGGUUGAAAGUGGAUUUAAAAGUUUAGGGUGUUAAUUUGGGCUCUGGAAUGAGU